CAGUAGUGUCCAUUUUCCCAUUUUAUUUUUCCUGGAUCAGGUCAUUAUAUGAACAAAUAUUAAGAAGAAUGUCUUUUAUACAUAACUUACAAAAAGCACCAAGGUUUUCUAAUACAGGAAGAAAAAAGGCAAACAGAAUUCAAGUACCAUCUUGUACAAUAUUAAGAAUUUUCUGAGUCACUCAAAAAAAUGUGUUAAACAUUAACAGCAAACUCAGGCUACUGCCAGCCUUAAAAACAUAAAAUGUAACAGAUCAGUUUAAAGCAAAGGGUAAACAAACAAAGCCAUAGUCCAUAGCUAGGCACUUUGGAACAACAGAAGACUCAAGAAUUGGGGAAAUCAAGGAGCAUAAGCAACUUCUGCACUGGGUGAAGAGAAAAGCUAACAGCAAACGAGCAUGUGCAAUGGAAGCUUCUUUCUGAGGAAAGGUCAAAGUGGAUCCAUUUAACCAGGAAGUGGGAAUAUCUUGUACAACACAGACUGAAAGCAGGCACCAAUGGUGUGAUUACCAUAUCCUAAAGAAUGUAUCAGUGUAUCCAUGUAACUAGAGAUUAUGUGCUGCUUUUGUGAGGCAAGCACACAGAAAUCACGUGAUCAUGCUACUGACACGUCCCAGAAAAUGUUGGUUAACCAGGCCCAGCAUGGUGGUGCACGCCUUUAAUCCCAGCACUUGG